rnacentral:rRNA from 1 species
CGUAGGUGCAAGCGUUGUCCGGAUUUAUUGGUUUAAAGGGUGCGUAGGCGGCUUUGUAAGUCAGUGGUGAAAUAUGGCAGCUCAACUGUCAAGGUGCCAUUGAUACUGCGGAGCUUGAGUACAGAUGAGGUAGGCGGAAUUGACGGUGUAGCGGUGAAAUGCUUAGAUAUCGUCAAGAACACCUAUAGCGAAGGCAGCUUACUAGGCUGUAACUGACGCUGAGGCACGAAAGUGUGGGGAUCAAACAGGAUUAGAUACCCUGGUAGUCCACACUGUAAACGUUGAUUACUCGCUGUGUGCGAUAUACAGUACGCGGCCAAGCGAAAGCGCUAAGUAAUCCACCUGGGGAGUACGCCGGCAACGGUG